AUGCAAAAUGACUCUCGGCAACGGAUAUCUCGGCUCUUGCAUCGAUGAAGAACGUAGCGAAAUGCGAUACUUGGUGUGAAUUGCAGAAUCUCGUGAACCAUCGAGUCUUUGAACGCAAGUUGCGCCCGAAGCCAUUAGGUUGAGGGCACGCCUGCCUGGGUGUCACAC
rnacentral:rRNA from 1 species